rnacentral:rRNA from 1 species
GGUUUGAUUAUGGCUCCAGAUUGAACACGCUGGCGGGAUGCUUUACAUGCAAGUCGAACGGCGCUGGACUUCGGUCUGGUGGCGAGUGGCGAACGGGUGAGUAAUGUAUCCGGAACGUGCCUAGUAGCGGGGAUAACUACGCGAAAGCGUAGCUAAUACCGCAUACGCCCUUCGGGGGAAAGCGGGGAACCUUCGGGCCUCGCACUAUUAGAGCGGCCGAUAUCGGAUUAGCUAGUUGGUGGGGUAACGGCUCACCAGGCGACGAUCCGUAGCUGGUUUGAGGUUGACCAGCCACACUGGGACUGAGACACGGCCCAGACUCCUACGGGAGGCAGCAGUGGGGAAUUUUGGACAAUGGGGGAAACCCUGAUCCAGCCAUCCCGCGUGCGAUGAAGGCCUUCGGGUUGUAAAGCACUUUUGGCAGGAAAAGAAACGCUUUGGGAUAAUACCCCGUGCAACUGACGGUACCUGCAGAAUAAGCACUGGCUAACUACGUGCCGGCAGCCGCACAUUGUACGUAGGGUGCAAGCGUUAAUCGGAAUUACUGGGCGUAAAGCGUGCGCAGGCGGUUCGGAAGAAGAUGUGAAAUCCCAGAGCUUAACUUUGGAACUGCAUUUUUAACUACCGAGCUAGAGUGUGUCAGAGGGAGGUGGAAUUCCGCGUGUAGCAGUGAAAUGCGUAGAUAUGCGGAGGAACACCGAUAGCGAGCAACCUCCUGGGAUAACACUGACAAUGACGCUCAUACGAAAAGCGUGGGAGCAAACAGGAUUAGAUACCCUGGUAGUCCACGCCCUAAACGAUGUCAACUAGCUGUUGGGGCCUUCGGGCCUUGGUAGCGCAGCUAACGCGUGAAGUUGACCGCCUGGGGAAGUACGGUCCUGCAAAGAUUAAAACUCGAAAGGAAUUGACGGGGACCCGCACAAGCGGUGGAUGAUGUGGAUUAAUUCGAUGCAACGCGAAAAACCUUACCUACCCUUGACAUGUCUGGAAUCCCGAAGAGAUUUGGGAGUGCUCGCAAGAGAACCGGAACACAGGUGCUGCAUGGCCGUCGUCAGCUCGUGUCGUGAGAUGUUGGGUUAAGUCCCGCAACGAGCGCAACCCUUGUCGUGGAUUGCUACGAAAGGGCACUCUAAUGGGACUGCCGGUAAACAAACCGGAGGAAGGUGGGAUGACGUCAAGUCCUCAUGGCCCUUAUGGGUAGGGCUUCACACGUCAUACAAUGGUCGGGACAGAGGUCGCCAACCCGCGACCAAUCCCAGAAACGAUCGUAGUCGGAUCGCAGUCUGCAACUCGACUGCGUGAAGUCAGGAAUCGCUAGUAAUCGCGGAUCAGCAUGUCGCGGUGGGCGUUCCCGGGUCUUACACCGCCCGUCACACCAUGGGGGAGUGGGUUUUACCAGAAGUGAUUAGCCUAACCGUAAGGAGGGCGAUUACCACGGUAAGUUCAUGACUGGGGUGAAGUCGUAACAAGGUAG